UAGAUCACCUGUGUUCUACAGAUACCAAUCGACACUUAGUGACAACUGAAGAAUCUCUCGUUGUGAAUAUCGUGUUGUCAUACACAAACAAGAGGGAGCCACAAAAGACGUACUAGCAACUGGCAGCAUCUCGGACAGCAGCGCCUGUUUAUAAAAUGAUCAUUCAAAGAUGAAGAUUCUACAAGCAAUAGUGAAAGAGGCACGUGUUACUGGAGCUGGUCCUGUACUUCAACGAAUCAAACGCGACACGCGCACUCUAACAGAUCACCUCAAAAUAUCACAGGAUCUUCUCAUCGCCACCAUAUCUCUGGGGGUUGUGCUAGGGCUGCUUCUGGUCAUUUUGGUUGUAGUCAGAGUGAGAAAAUGCAUGAAAGAUAAAAACAGAGUAACAAAGGCAUUAAACAAAGGGAUUGAACAUGACCGGAAGUCUGUGGAUAUUCGGAACAAACACCAGCCUCUCAAACAUGGUCGUGAGAGGACGCCACGUUUUAAAAAGGCAGCCAGAUCCAAAAUGAAUACAAUAGUGGAAUCGGAGGCUUGAGUUUUGUUUUGUAACACAAAUGAGUGUUGAAAUUUGAUUUGAUGCACACGUGAAUGAGUGCCAAUGUUGAAGGACUGUUGAAGUUCUUCAAAUUCAGUUUGAUAUUAGAAAAUUCUAAUUUAUUUCCAUGUUUUGAGCCCUCGACAAGUUAACGUUUAACGAAAAUAAGUAUGACGUUUUAUUCUUGUGCCUUGUUCUUUGAUUUCUUUCGAGCGGAGCGUUCUACAGGAUUAAUAAACAACUCGUACAGAAACAAGAGCCUUACAAAGGAUAAUUAGACAAGUCGUACAGAAACAGGAUCAUUAAAAUACCUCAAAAAGAAAACUUUCACAACGAAAGACAGGGGCUUUGUUUUCCUACUUGAUAUUCCAUCACGUGACUUUGUUAAAGAUAAGCUUGUGAUAUUUUAUUGAUUUUCUAUGGUACUGUACUUCCAUGUUUCUUUUAUAAAUCUACAAAUCCUGAUAUUGACUGUGAACACGUCGUCACACAUCAUAUGAAGGACCUCAUUAUGAUUAUAGUUACUCUUACCAUGCAGCAUUGUGCAUUCUGUUUUGUCGGGUUAUGGGAUUUUUUUUUAGGGUUGAUGGUUGGAGAAAAAAGUAUAUAAUAAAUUAUUGGUCUUAGAAA